AACGCAAAUUUCACAUUCCCCGAAAUUACAAUAGUGAUCAAAUAUAAAUAAUUAAUAUAAAUUAAAUCGACAGUGAUUGUUAUAAAAUACAAAGUUAAUGUGUAUGUACAUUUAUAUUUCCAGGCCUGCUUCAUCCGAUUUCAAAAUAAACUGCUCAGCUCCAGCCUCGAGGGUUCGAUUCGCGGGGUAUCUUGUUGCAGUGCGUGAGAGAGGCAGCCGCGGAUAUUAAAACUGACGUUUUUUCACGCCGUUCGUUCGCUCGGGGUGAAAAAAAGUCCCGGAUCAUAUUUUUGCCUCGCUCCGCGUGAGCCCGAACUCGUUUUUUAUAGUGACUAUAAAAGAGCGUCGAAAAGUUUGAAUCCGAAAAAAUUCGUGGUCCACAUACGCUCGAAAUUACACGGACGUUAUUGGAAUCUCGAAAUAUUGGAAUUAUUACAAGUAGGCAGCUCGGAUGGUUCCUUGGAUUUUUAAGAUAAAAGUGAAGUUUGAACCUACAUGGCGUACCGUAGAGCUUGCUUAUGUCCUUCCCAGGAUGGAUGAGAUGCUGGGGCGCAGGUGGGGCUUCCUCGUCGGCACGACCGUUUAUGGUAUUUUCGAGCGUGCCACCCUUGCUGUGUGCCUUGGGGUCGUGCACCUUGAACCGCACCUCCUGGACAACACGGGACCACUUACAAGAGACACGGCAGUUCGCUUCGGGGUUUCCCCCCUUGGUUAUACGGUUUUGUACUCAACUUUUCGAAAAGUUUUGGGAUUUUCGUCUCUGGAGGUAUUUUUCGUGCGAAAGAGGAAUGAAACGCUUUUUUUUUUUUUAUUGUUUCAGGAUCGAAAAGGUCGUGGGAGAGCAUUCACGAUGAUACGAAACGAUGGUAAUAAACAUUCGAAGAACGUUUAGAAGCUAGUUAAAAACUGAGGAGGAAAUAAUAGCGAGGCGACUCGAGAUAAAUUUUCCCCAAAAAAUACCGGAAGUGAUUCCUGGCACGAGUUUGAAAACGAGAAAUUUCGGCGCGGUUGCUUCUUCGUUGAAGGGAAGAGAAAGGGGACAUGGUUCGAGAUGAAAGAACUGAUCCGAAGGCGACAAAUUUUCUGAAUUGAAGCAAAAUAUUUAGUUAGCGAAGAAAUAAAGUUUUCACGGAGUUAUGGACAGUCGAGAGUUGUCGAGCUGUCUUUGUAUUUGUAACCAGAAAGGUACAAAGUUGCCCUAGAACUCGGUUGGCCAGCUAACAUAAAGUAGAAACGAUUCAACACCUCCGGAGACUGGGACAACGGAUUUAUGUAUGCGACUCGGACUUUUGUCAGGAUCGUAACUCCUUGGGCAAACCCGUGGGAGCUCUAACAAAAACGUAGCAGAAGCUUUCGUGCCUUGCAACGGAGUUUCGAGCGAAAUUUCCCGUAUGAGAUAACGUCGUAGGAGAGUGGCAGUGGUCGGAGACGCGGAGAGUCUACUUUGAGAGAAUUUAAGCCUCGGACCUUCGCCAAAGGGUAUUGCAAUAUUCACGAGAACUCUCGUGUUUAUUCACGCGGUUGCCGCAACCCGGUGGUCCAUGGGAUCAGCUUUAAUUUAUUUUCACCGUAUAUCCGAGUGCGAUACUCGCUCGCUCGCUUUAGGAUGCCGAGACAUUUUCACCCAACCUCGAAUGGGCCAAAUGGUGUGAGAGAAUCGACUUUGAUAUUGAAUUAAUAAUCCUUCGAGGCUCACUCCCAUAAGAUUCCCCGGACACGUAUCUAUAAAAAUACGCGUACGCAAAGGUGCGAUUGGACGAUGCAUAAAGUCCGAGAGUCCGGGUGAGCAUCCCCUCGACAACCCUCGCUCCUCUCCCAAUUGUAAAGAUUUUUUUCUACUAUUUAGAAAGCGCAGCUUUCCAUGACAAAGUAAUCAAGGGCUGGACGUUUUUCCAGGUGCGCCCUGGAUUAAGCACGUUUAUGCGUUAAAACAAAUAUCAGCUGAGAAUUCUCAACCCCUUUGCCUGCAACGAUUUAAUAUUAAAUUCACUCAACUCUUUGAGCCCCCUCGAGACUUAAGCUGACGCAUUACCGUUUUUUUUUCCACUUCGUUUCAUUAUUCAACUACUCUGGCUGCAACGAAUUCUGGAUUUUUCGUUUUCACGUGUACGAAAAGCUGUACUCACAAGAUUUAUUCGAUGCAUGAAAAUCGUGGACAAAUAAAUUCAUGAAAAACUCCAUUUUUCACUAAUCUAUUACGGAAAUCACGAUGACGAUCUUUCCACGAUUUCAACACACUCCGAAGGAUUGUACAACGUUUAGGAAAACAUUUCCGGUCUGUGGAUUCUCUCGAAUCCGUUAUCAGCGAGCCCAAUACCUCGGCAUCUGAACUUUCGAGUUAAUCGUCCGGAAGGGAAAACAUAUGCAUCAAUGGAUCAACGUUUGUUAUCCGGCUCUUUGAGCCAGAGGCCUCGCCACAGUCCGAUUCAAAAGGAAAUGUUUCAAGUUUCGAGGAUAAUGUUGACCCAACGAAAAAGAGAUUUCGACGUUGGACCAAAAGCGAUCAGCAUGUUUCGUCAAAAUGCAGCAAAUCGGGGCACUGGAGAAAGGAUCGAAUCCAGCGUUUGAAAAAAUUCGCUUCUCUUCGUUUUUUGGAGGGUUCGGGAAAGGAAGCGAUGAGCUCGGGCACCGAGUAGCCAAGAUUGAAAUUUUGGCUUGCGAUACUCACAGUUUGUUUGGGCGCGUGGUCCCCGUGAUCACCGACACCUGGAACUCCGGGUGGUCCUGGAUUUUCUCUCGCGGCUUUCAUGCUUUCCGCUAUUUUUUGGAACCUGUUCUUCCUCAUUUGAAUCCUCUUGGCCAUAUACCCGACUGUCGCGUAUUCUGCGAACGAACGACACGGAUCCAUUAAAAAAAUCCUGUUAAAUGGGCCUAAGCUACACGAGGGCUCGUAACUCAAAGUAAAAUCAGAAUGUUUUGAGACAUUUUUACUGAAAAUAAUAGUACGGAAUGGGCAUAAGAGAAUGGAACAUUGAGUUCCAUCGUUCUGAGGGCUUAGAAGAAAAAAUGGAAAUUUUUUUUUUCACGGAUCCCGAGUGAUGGGAGGCUUUGAAAAACGAUGCAGGCCGCUGGAGAGAGAACAGUGGAUUGGCGAGCUCGAGAAAAGCUGAAUAAAAAAACGAGAAUUCACAAAGCCGGCCGAGUAUGGUACAAGAUCGGAUGAUAAUCGGUACAAAUAAUGUACACGGGCAAGUGAAGCAAUGCACGAGUGGAGGUCGAAGGGUGAAUUAUAAUUAGCGAGGGCGUAAUCGGGUCGCCAAUUUUAGGCCUUAAAGGGGUAGUUUGCUGUUGCUGUUGAGUAUAAAGAGAGAUAGAAGGAAGGGGGAAAGAGGGUCGUCGGUUAAUAUACGUCCCGAGGAUCCAGUCUUGGUUCGGUGCUUUGUGGAUCCGCGUCAUCGAGAAGAAGAAGAAGACGACGGUGACGACAACCCUGACGAGGUGGAUGACGUACACACGGGCUAGAGAAACGGUUGAUGUUGACGCUGACACCGGGUACGACGUGAACUUUGGACCCUCCGUUUGUGUUGUAUCGUUGAGCCUCGACGAGAAACACCGACGCGUUUCACCACAGAAGCUUCGUACUCCUCUUUAACGUUCACCGCAGCAACGUGUUGAUUUCAUCGAAUAUAAAUAUCGUCGAAGGAGGAAAAUCGUCUUCGCAGUCACGUUGCAGCUUGUGUUUCUCUCUGGAUGAAUCGAUGACGAAUGACAGUCGCUUCGCUUCAUCAGCAGCUGGCGUUUGAUCGAAUUUUUGUUCGUUAAAAACUUGACGAUUGAAACACGAUACUUUAUUAAGCAUAGACACGAUGACGAGGAUAAUUGAGAAGUUGGAUAAAAAUAGUGAAUGAUGGAAUGACCCAUAGACGUAAAUACACAUAGAGAAGGUGCCUCCGUGGUUUAUUUCUGGUGUGCAUCGUGGCAUGAUAAUCGUUCGAUCCGCACGUUCGUUCGUUAUACCGAGGUUCAAGCCCAACGGCAAAUAUCCAGCUUCUGCGACAGGGGCGAUAAAACAAAGAAAAAAAGCUACGGUUAAGGAAGAAAGAA